rnacentral:ncRNA from 1 species
UUACUAGCAGUGAAAAAGAGGAGUAAAGAUACAGGAGUAUUAAGAGAGGAAAGUUUGAGGCUGAAAGACUUUCUAUACAAAAUAUCUUGAAGGUAGCUUUGGAGCUUCUUUAUCGAAUUUUAGUAGAUAAAGACGGUGGAUUAGAUUACAUCGUUAAUAGAUUAAGAUGCCUGUAUUUAUUGCAGGAAUUAAGGUGGUAUCGCGCAUUGUCGUCCUUUGG